GAUGAACGCUAGCGACAGGCCUAACACAUGCAAGUCGAGGGGCAGCGAGGAUGUAGCAAUACAUUUGUCGGCGACCGGCGCACGGGUGAGUAACGCGUAUGCAACCUACCCGACACAGGGGGAUAACCCGGAGAAAUUCGGACUAAUACCCCAUAGUAAUUUGUGGAGGCAUCUCUAUAAAUUUAAAGCUCCGGCGGAUACGGAUUGACUCGCGUGACAUUAGCUAGAUGGUAAGGUAACGGCUUACCAUGGCGACGAUCAGUAGCCGACCUGAGAGGGUGAUCGGCCACAUUGGGACUGAGACACGGCCCAAACUCCUACGGGAGGCAGCAGUGGGGAAUAUUGGGCAAUGGGGGAAACCCUGACCCAGCAACGCCGCGUGGAGGAAGAAGGUUUUCGGAUCGUAAACUCCUGUCCUCAGGGAAGAGCAGAAGACGGUACCUGAGGAGGAAGCCCCGGCUAACUACGUG
rnacentral:rRNA from 1 species